AUCUGUGUGCAAUUUCUAGAAGAGAUGGGUUAGGAAGUGAGCUGGUGCCUCCCCCAGGCCCAUUCCAGGGGUGCCCUGACGCACACCCCGCCACCGGUCUCUUCUGAGGAUGGUGUGGCCAUCGGCCAGCUUCCUCAGCUUUACAGAUGGGCUUCUAGAUUGGCCCUGCAUCCCAGCUACUAAGAGUGGAGGGUGAUAAGCAUGGAUAGAUGCGGGUGUCUGCUGCUGCAGUCUGUCAGCUAACUUCGGGGAGCCAUGGUCUUCAUCUGAGACGCAUCCAGCAGGGGCGGUCUUGAUCUCACUGGAGCUGGGACGCGCACACCUUUCCACAUUGCGGAACACAUUUGUGGGCCCCAGGUCAGCAAGCAGCCUUCUGACCAGCCUUGUCACCAUUGAUUUAGAAUUUAAACCCGGUGGAACCUCAGUUAAUGUCCCUUCAUCCCAACUUUAAAUGACACUAAAUACAUCAGCCACUCGGCUGCAGUAUGGAUGCCCAAAAGGCUCUUCUCUCCACUCCUACAGCGGAUGCUACGUGACGAGCAUCCUCAGUCCACACUUGCAGAGUGGUACGAAACAAGAAAGAACCCCGGAGGGCAGCUAGGUAGCCGUGUGGAGGAUGCGGGCCAGAGGAAAGACCGAGGGAGAAGGGAAAUGGACGUUUUCAGAAGACUUCUAUCUCCACCCCUCCGUAGUUAAAAGAGCACAUUCCAAGUCCUCCUGUUACCCCCAUCUUCCAGAUGGAGAAACUGAGUCCGGAAAAGUUCCAGUAGAUGACCGAGAACCCUCCAGUGGAGACGCGCUGUCCCACCAUGCUUUCUGGUGACUUGUGCUUUGUCUACCACCCUUAAAGC